UACGAAGGGUGCUAGCGUUGUUCGGAAUCACUGGGCGUAAAGCGUUCGUAGGCGGUUUAGUAAGUCGAUUGUGAAAGCCCCGGGCUUAACUCGGGAACUGCAAUCGAUACUGCUUUGCUAGAAUAUGGUGGGGGAUAGUGGAAUUCCUAGUGUAGGGGUGAAAUCCGUAGAUAUUAGGAGGAAUACCGGUGGCGAAAGCGACUAUCUAUGCCAUUAUUGACGCUGAGGAACGAAAGCGUGGGGAGCAAACAGGAUUAGAUACCCUGGUAGUCCACGCAGUAAACGAUGAGUGCUAGUUGUCGGGGUCUUAGACUUCGGUGGUGAAGCUAACGCGUUAAGCACUCCGCCUGGGGAAUACGGCCGCAAGGCUAAAACUCAAAGGAAUUGACGGGGACCCGCACAAGCAGUGGAGCAUGUGGUUUAAUUCGAUGCUACGCGAAAAACCUUACCAACCCUUGAAUCCCAUUGACCGGUACAGAGAUGUACUUUUGGAGCAAUCCACAGUGGAGACAGGUGUUGCAUGGCUGUCGUCAGCUCGUGUCGUGAGAUGUUAGGUUAAGUCCUUCAACGAGCGCAACCCUCAUCCUUAUUUGCCAUCGGGUUAUGCCGGGAACUAUAAGGAAACUGCCUGCGACAAGCAGGAGGAAGGUGGGGACGAUGUCAAGUCAUCAUGGCCCUUAUGGGUUGGGCUACACACAUGCUACAAUGGUGGUUACAGCAGGAAGCCAAGGAGCGAUCCGGAGCAAAUCCUUAAAAGCCAUCUCAGUUCAGAUUGGGGGCUGCAACUCGCCCCAUGAAGUUGGAAUUGCUAGUAAUCGUGGAUCAGCACGCCACGGUGAAUACGUUCUCGGGUCU
rnacentral:rRNA from 1 species